rnacentral:rRNA from 1 species
UACGUAGGGUGCGAGCGUUGUCCGGAAUCAUUGGGCGUAAAGAGCGUGUAGGCGGCCCGGUAAGUCCGCUGUAAAAGUCAAAGGCUCAACCUUUGAAUGUCAGUGGAUACCUGCCGGGCUAGAGUCCGGAAGAGGCGAGUGGAACUCCUGGUGUAGCGGUGGAAUGCGCAGAUAUCAGGAAGAACACCAACGGCGAAGGCAGCUCGCUGGGACGGUACUGACGCUGAGACGCGAAAGCGUGGGGAGCGAACAGG